GAAAAUUGCCGAACCCCUCUGUGAGUCAGUUGCCUCAUACACAAAAUAGAAUUAAUGAAGCUUGGUUGUCAUUAAGGCUUCUUAAGAUCUGCAGAUGAAAGAUACUGCAUUCAUCCAACACAAAUUAUUCACCAGUAUACUAUGAAAGACUCUCAGAAGAGAAAGCUCUGGUCACAGCUCAGAAGUGCACUUAGAAGUAAAUGGUCCCCUCCCCUCACUGAGAGCUUCUUGGAUCCUGUCCUGGGAACUUUCUCCUCAUGCACUGCUUUAUCCUGAGUCUGUCUCCACUGCUCUGUGGAAACCUGCACAUUAACUUGCUUCCUAUGAAGAAAAUCUGUUGAAAUAAAAAAGAAAAUGGUUCUGAGCCCUAAAAGGAAG
rnacentral:lncRNA from 10 species